rnacentral:misc_RNA from 1 species
GAUGAAGAACGUAGCGAAAUGCGAUAAGUAAUGUGAAUUGCAGAAUUCAGUGAAUCAUCGAAUCUUUGAACGCACAUUGCGCCCGCCAGUAUUCUGGCGGGCAUGCCUGUUCGAGCGUCAUUUCAACCAUCAAGCCCCCGGCUUGUGUUGGGGACCUGCGGCUGCCGCAGGCCCUGAAAACCAGUGGCGGGCUCGCUAGUCACUCCGAGCGUAGUAAUACAUCUCGCUCAGGGCGUGCUGCGGGUUCCGGCCGUUAAAAAAGCCUUAUUUACCCAAGGUUGACCUCGGAUCAGGUAGGAAGACCCGCUGAACUUAAGCAUAUCAAUAAGCGGAGGA